rnacentral:rRNA from 1 species
GUCGGAUUAGCUAGUUGGUGAGGUAAUGGCUCACCAAGGCAGCGAUCCGUAGCUGGUCUGAGAGGAUGAUCAGCCACAUCGGGACUGAGACACGGCCCGAACUCCUACGGGAGGCAGCAGUGGGGAAUAUUGGACAAUGGGGGCAACCCUGAUCCAGCCAUGCCGCGUGUGUGAAGAAGGCCCUCGGGUUGUAAAGCACUUUCAGCGAGGAAGAACGCCUAGUGGUUAAUACCCAUUAGGAAAGACAUCACUCGCAGAAGAAGCACCGGCUAGCUCCGUGCCAGCAGCCGCGGUAAUACGGAGGGUGCAAGCGUUAAUCGGAAUUACUGGGCGUAAAGCGCGCGUAGGUGGCUUGAUAAGCCGGUUGUGAAAGCCCCGGGCUCAACCUGGGAACGGCAUCCGGAACUGUCAGGCUAGAGUGCAGGAGAGGAAGGUAGAAUUCCCGGUGUAGCGGUGAAAUGCGUAGAGAUCGGGAGGAGUACCAGUGGCGAAGGCGGCCUUCUGGACUGACACUGACACUGAGGUGCGAAAGCGUGGGUGGCAAACAGGAUUAGAUACCCUGGUAGUCCACGCCGUAAACGAUGUCGACCAGCCGUUGGGUGCCUAGCGCACUUUGUGGCGAAGUUAACGCGAUAAGUCGACCGCCUGGGGAGUACGGCCGCAAGGUUAAAACUCAAAUGAAUUGACGGGGGCCCGCACAAGCGGUGGAGCAUGUGGUUUAAUUCGAUGCAACGCGAAGAACCUUACCUACCCUUGACAUCGACAGAAGCCGAGAGAGAUCUUGGUGUGCCUUCGGGAACUGUCAGACAGGUGCUGCAUGGCUGUCGUCAGCUCGUGUUGUGAAAUGUUGGGUUAAGUCCCGUAACGAGCGCAACCCUUGUCCUUAUUUGCCAGCACGUAAUGGUGGGAACUCUAAGGAGACUGCCGGUGACAAACCGGAGGAAGGUGGGGACGACGUCAAGUCAUCAUGGCCCUUACGGGUAGGGCUACACACGUGCUACAAUGGCCGGUACAAAGGGCAGCGAACUCGCGAGAGUCAGCGAAUCCCUUAAAGCCGGUCUCAGUCCGGAUCGGAGUCUGCAACUCGACUCCGGAAGUCGGAAUCGCUAGUAAUCGGA